GCGAGGACCCCUAAGAUGGCGGCCGUCGCGAUGCCUGUGCGCAAGUUGCAACGGAGGCAGUUGUCACGAAGGACACAAGACAGAAGCUCUGUCCCGAGACGCUCUCAAGUUACGUUGAGACUGAUGAUUCCCCAAUCUUCCACAAUGGACUUCACAUAGGAUGAACUGUUUCCAGUUUCAGCAAAACAGCAAGAAUUUAUGAAUGGAUGACUGCAGCUUAGCACUCUUCACUAACACUGCCUGCCUCACCUGGACCACAGAGAAAACAAUGUUGCUGCCUGUACAUGGCACAAUUAACCUUUAACCUUACAGCUGAAUCAAUGCAGUAACACUGUUAACUAGUAAUGAUAUUGUACCAAAUGUUCAGACUGAAUAUACAGAGGAGAACUGGUCCCCAGUGUUUUUGGUUAGUCUGGUUUCUCCAAAGGUUUUUACUCCAGUAUCGACAUCUUACAGUUUUUUCUUUAUUAACCACCGUUGCCUUUGGCUUGCUUGCUGUAUGUGUGACGACUAAUGCAUUUAGCACCAACUAUUAAAACAGUGAGGGUGUUUUUGACCACAUAGACACAACA